GGCGGCCGCCGCCUCCGCCGCCCCCGCCGCCCUUCCAUCAACACGUGCCGUGGGCGGGAGGGCUGGCGGGGCACCCCGGGAAAAAAGUUGGCCGGGAGGACCUAGCCGGGCCUGCUUUUCCUCCCCCGUAGUCCUUCCGCGGGCGGGAGCGCAGGCCGCAGCCAGCCGCCGCCUGAGCGAGCUUGUCGCUAGGCUCCCCGCCCCCAGCCCCGGGACCGAGGCGUUGCCUUGCCCCGCUGCCCAGAAGGGCUCUCCCGGUGAAGAGGGUGGGGGACCCCCUCUGGGAAAGGCCGGGAAGGUGUCACGGAGGCACUGCUGGCCGAGCAGAGCGGUCGAGACGUGAGAAGCGACUGAGGCUGGGCACGGCUGCAGGGCCGGGAAGCUCCAUCCAGAUGCUGGUGGAGUUGGUGCCGUGGAAAAUGGACAAGCUGCCAGGAUUCACAGAGUGAGAUCUCCCAGCAGCAGUGCAGAAGGAGCUUUAAUGACAGUAUGUCAUAUGACAAGGAGACCGCACAGUUCCCACCUGGGCUGCUGGUUUUAAUCCUUCACUCAAAAAAGUGGCAGCAGUUGUGUUGUUGACGUGGUCUUGCCUUCCACUUGUCCUGUCACUUGGGUAUUCUGCGUCACGAAUGCAAAGCCGACUAUAGGGGGAAAUGAAGAUCAUAUGGAUGAUACAAACCUACUCAGUUUCCAUUUACUGCAGACCAAAACACCUUUUAGGCCUUCAGGACACACCAGCAAUUGCUAGUGUUAAGAUGCCUGCCCAGAUAAACUUUCUAGAGAAUAACCAAUUGGGAAGCGAUCUCCACUUAUCUGUGCCAAAUAGCCACAUGCGCAUAUACUGUGGGAAACACGGGCUUGUUUAUUCUGUUGACCUCUCCACAGCCUAGUUCUGUUUUUGCAUGCUAGUAUCAGACAGGACUUGUAAAUGUUCUGUACUCCACUCCAGAGUGUUGUCAUCUCUGAAUGUAAGAUGAGAGCACUGGCUCUGCAAUAUCGUUCACAAGUGUUAUGCCCAUGGAUCGUUAGGUGAGUGCUUAGCUUGCAUACUGUCCUAUAUAGCAAAACAAAAGAGGAAUUAAAGUUUCAAACCUGUCAACUUCCCGGAGUCGUUUUAAAUCUAGGCAGUUAAAGGCACACCUACUAAGUGUAGGUGGCCAGAUACUACGGUGAUAGACAUUUAAAAAUACAGGUCUUGUCUUACUAGACAUUUAGAAAAUUUUUUCCGAUGACCAUCAUCCAGAAAAAUCUGUCUGUCCAAAACAAAGACAGCCUGCAAGAAAGACAAAUUCACAGCUUUCAUGCCAAGCAAUACAGAACUUGUAUGCUGAUGUUUAUAAUUUCAAAGGAAAAUAUGAGUCUGCUGUUCUUCCACUCUGUCUACUAUCAGAUUAUAGCAACAGAAUAGACACUCAAUAUGGAAGAAGAAUGCAACAUGCAUGUGUGCGCUCCCAACCAGAACCAAAGCUGUUAGAGCUAGCACCUCUUUAAGUAAUAAUCUGUGUGGUAAUACAGCCCUGUGCUUUUCGGAGGUUGGAUAUUGAUUUAAAUCCAGUAUGCAUGAAUUUAGCAAAAGCCACUAGCCUUGAAAUUUAUUUGAUCCCUUGUGUGAAAUGGAUCGACUAUUUUCAUCCAGUUCCCGGUGAGUAAAUUUGCACACUGCAGAAACUGCCAUCUCAGCUAGUACUUUUCAAGGCACUUGGGCACUGAAGAUAGCACAAGUGAUAGUCCCUGUUAGGUCAGAAAUAGUGUUGCUGAGGAUGAAGUUUGCAUUGCCAUAGCCAAUAUGCCUGUUCUCUGCAUAAAUGAGCACUGUGUAAAUACUUGUCUUAACCACAGAAUAAAGUCAGUAAAAGUAAAGUACAUUAUAACAAUAUUAGGGCUGCAGGAGACAGAACUGUGUGUUGAUCUACAAUGAUGAAUCGUAGCAACCUUAGAAAGUGUUCAGAUUGUGAUAGAUGUCUGAUGAAACAUCACAUGGAAAGUACUGGUGUCUUUCAAAACAGUGCAGUACUUAAAAUAUGUUUCCAAUUUCAUACAGGUAUAAACUGUCAUUUUUGAAACAUAUGGAUUUAUGUAUGAAAACAAUGUGUGUAGACUAAAAUUCCUCAUUUACCAUCAUACAGUGGUCUAUGUGUGAGAAGGGGAUUGUUGACCAGUCCUGAUGUGUGAGAUGUUUGACCUGAUAAUGGAAGAGUUUUCUUUAUGCACCACCUGAAGAACCCUAUUGUAUUUCCCCAAAUAAAAGUAACUGGAAAUUUAACCUAAGAUUCUUGCCAAGUAAACCACAAAGAAUCAAACCUGA